CACAGAUCCAGCCCAAGAGCACUGUUCCCUGGCCUCACCCAGAGAAACAGGAUGACUGGCAAUCUGCUGUUCGCCUACAUCAUUGGCCUGCUGGUCUUCACUUCUGCAUGCCACUCCACGGGCUGCAAGCAUGGUGUCACACAGGGCAAUUCAGAGUCAGGUACUAUUGUGGACCAUCUCGGGACUGCCUGUUGUGAUCAGUGCUUAAGCAGGGCCUAGGAAGAGAGAAUGCUUAGAAGAAGCCAGUUUUAAGGGGCAUAAGGGACUGCUGGACACUGAACUCAUGCACACAGGGGCUGGAGGGAAAUGAGAGAUGCUUCUCCAGUAACUGGGCUUUGGCCUGGAUUUGAGAGAAUGCACCGGGGAGGUCUGUGUUGGGCCUGUUGGGACCUUUCCUCUGGACUAGCUGGAGGAUAGGAAGCUCUGUCCCAUCUGCAAUUCCAGGCCUUCCCCACCCAGCAUCAACUGCUCUCAGCCACAGGUAGCUGUCCCCAAACACAGAGGCCUACUGAUCCAAGCUGGCCUGAGCAGGAGGACAACCCAAGCAUCCUGCAAGGAAGCUCUGCUGGGUACCUAACCCAAUUCUCUUCUACUGUGUGUCCAGCCAAUUCCUUUUUAUGCCAGCUGUGGCAGAGCUGAAGGAAGUCUGAUCCCCAGCUCAGUUCUGCUGAGGUUUACAGGGGCUCCACGUGGGGCUGUGGGAUAUGUGAGAGUGGGCAUGUGGGCAACCCCUACAGCCUCCCUAUUGUGUGCCUGGCUCCUCUGAUGGUCUCAGGCCCCACAGGUGCCUGUCCUCCCCAGGGUUCUGGGCCCUGGAACCCAUUUGGGGGACCUAGCAGGUGAGUAUUGGAUCAUGGACCUAAGUAAGGUUGGCUCGGUUGGUGUUGGGUUGCAAAAUCAAGGCCAGAGUGGGAGAAAAGGCUUGUGUGUGCUCUGCCUAUGGUCAGGGGCCCUCUACCAGGGCCUAGGGAAGAGGUUUGAAUAAUGGGGUAAUGGGAAGUGCAAUAGGGGUCUGGUGGGCAGAUGACAGAGGAGGGUACAACAGUGGUGGCUUCAUUGUUGAAGAGGAAGGUGUCCCUCUGUCAUAGCCCAGGGAGACCCGUUCCACAACUGAAGGUGAGGAUGCUGGGGGCUGUUACUGAGAGCUGGUCUUCAAUCACCUGAAAACAGAAGUUAAGUCCAUUUUGCACCUACCCUUGAGUGCUCUCCAGAUCCGCCUGGCCCAAGGACCUCAGUCUCAUGGUAUCAGCUGCACUCCUGAGUCGGAACCCCAGUCUGUGCCGCUCCCGGGUGCCCACACUUUCCCCACCGCCUCCCUGAUGGCGCUCACCCGCAUCCAUCCCAGUAGACUCUCCGGUAGGACAGAAAGCGCCUCGGGCGACUCAGAGUCUCUGUUUUCCUUAGCACACGGGCAUGAAAACCGAAGGCUUUCUGGGGCUUCUGCAGGAGAAGGAGCAGGAGCAGGAGCAGGAAACGACGACGAAGGGCUCUCAGGGUCGGCCGCAGCAGCAGACAGCGUGCCGGGACUGUCUCUCACAGAGGGACUCACAGAGGGACUCACAGAAUCAGGAAAUGCCGCGGAGAACGCUCUGGCGGCCAUAGCCAACAACGCCGCCGCGGCUCUGGCGUCGCUAGCAGGACAAGAUAACGACGCCGCCCCCGCCACCGCCGAGCUGCUCCGGAACAAUCGACAGGCAGGGGCAGGCCAGCUGCCUCUCGUGCGCCGGGCGAUCGCUGCGCUGCGUCGACGGCACGAGCUGCCCGCCCCAGCCCUGGCGGCAGAGCCCGCGCACCUCCCCAGGCCCACGCUGCAACAGAGGUGC
rnacentral:lncRNA from 1 species